GGGAUGCCCUAGUAACGGCGAGUGAAGCGGCACCAGCUCAAAUUUGAAAUCUGGCUCUCGGGCCCGAGUUGUAAUUUGCAGAGGAUGCUUUUGGCGAGGUGCCUUCCGAGUUCCCUGGAACGGGACGCCGGAGAGGGUGAGAGCCCCGUACGGUUGGACACCGAGCCUCUGUAUAGCUCCUUCGACGAGUCGAGUAGUUUGAGAAUGCUGCUCUAAAUGGGAGGUAAAUUUCUUCUAAAGCUAAAUACCGGCCAGAGACCGAUAGCGCACAAGUAGAGUGAUCGAAAGAUGAAAAGCACUUUGAAAAGAGGGUUAAAUAGCACGUGAAAUUGUUGAAAGGGAAGCGUUUGCGACCAGACCUCUUCCGGGCGAAUCAUCCGUCGUUCUCGGCGGUGCACUUCGCCCGGAUCAGGCCAGCAUCGGUUCUCUUAGGGGGAGAAAGGCCCGGGGAACGUGGCUCCUUCGGGAGUGUUAUAGCCCCGGGCGUAAUGCCCCUCGGGGGACCGAGGAACGCGCUCUGCAAGGAUGCUGGCGUAAUGGUCGUCAACGACCCGUCUUGAAACACGGACCAAGGAGUCGAACAUUUGUGCGAGUGUUUGGGUGUCAAACCCUCACGCGCAAUGAAAGUGAACGGAGGUGAGAGCCCUCACGGGUGCAUCAUCGACCGAUCCUGAUGUCUUCGGAUGGAUUUGAGUAAGAGCAUAACUGUUCGGACCCGAAAGAUGGUGAACUAUGCGUGGAUAGGGUGAAGCCAGAGGAAACUCUGGUGGAGGCUCGCAGCGGUUCUGACGUGCAAAUCGAUCGUCAAAUCUGCGCAUGGGGGCGAAGACUAUCGACCUCAGAUUCGGCGCCG
rnacentral:rRNA from 1 species